rnacentral:rRNA from 1 species
CCCCUGGCCCCCUCUGCGGUACGUCAUUGCUGCGGUUAUUAACCACAACACCUUCCUCCCCGCUGAAGUACUUUACAACCCGAAGGCCUUCUUCAUACACGCGGCAUGGCUGCAUCAGGCUUGCGCCCAUUGUGCAAUAUUCCCCACUGCUGCCUCCCGUAGGGGGGCGGGGGCGGCGGGCCGGGCGCGGGGCGCGGCGGGCG